rnacentral:rRNA from 1 species
UACGUAGGGUGCAAGCGUUGUCCGGAAUUAUUGGGCGUAAAGAGCUCGUAGGCGGUUCGUCGCGUCGGCUGUGAAAACCCGGAGCUCAACUCCGGGCCUGCAGUCGAUACGGGCGGACUUGAGUGUUGCAGGGGGAGACUGGAAUUCCUGGUGUAGCGGUGAAAUGCGCAGAUAUCAGGAGGAACACCGGUGGCGAAGGCGGGUCUCUGGGCAACUACUGACGCUGAGGAGCGAAAGCGUGGGGAGCGAACAGG